rnacentral:rRNA from 1 species
AGGACGAACGCUGGCGGCGUGCUUAACACAUGCAAGUCGAGCGGAAAGGCCCUUCGGGGUACUCGAGCGGCGAACGGGUGAGUAACACGUGAGCAACCUGCCCUUAGCUUCGGGAUAGCUCCGGGAAACCGGAAUUAAUACCGAAUAUGACUUUGGCUGACAUCAGCAGAAGUGGAAAGUUUUUCGGCUAGGGAUGGACUCGCGGCCUAUCAGCUAGUUGGUGAGGUAACGGCCCACCAAGGCGACGACGGGUAGCCGGCCUGAGAGGGCGACCGGCCACACUGGGUUACUGAGACACGGCCCAGACUCCUACGGGAGGCAGCAGUGGGGAAUAUUGCGCAAUGGGCGAAAGCCUGACGCAGCGACGCCGCGUGGGGGAUGAAUGCCUUCGGGUUGUAAACCCCUUUCAGCAGGGACGAAGCGAAAGUGACGGUACCUGCAGAAGAAGCGCCGGCUAACUACGUGCCAGCAGCCGC